UGGGGAAUAUUGCACAAUGGGCGCAAGCCUGAUGCAGCCAUGCCGCGUGUGUGAAGAAGGCCUUCGGGUUGUAAAGCACUUUCAGCGAGGAGGAAGGUGGUGAGCUUAAUACGUCAUCAAUUGACGUUACUCGCAGAAGAAGCACCGGCUAACUCCGUGCCAGCAGCCGCGGUAAUACGGAGGGUGCAAGCGUUAAUCGGAAUUACUGGGCGUAAAGCGCACGCAGGCGGUUUGUUAAGUCAGAUGUGAAAUCCCCGGGCUCAACCUGGGAACUGCAUUUGAAACUGGCAAGCUAGAGUCUCGUAGAGGGGGGUAGAAUUCCAGGUGUAGCGGUGAAAUGCGUAGAGAUCUGGAGGAAUACCGGUGGCGAAGGCGGCCCCCCUGGACGAAGACUGACGCUCAGGUGCGAAAGCGUGGGGCAGCAAACAGGAUUAGAUACCCUGGUAGUCCAGCGCUGUAAAACGAUGUCGAUUUGGAGGUUGUGCCCUUGAGGCGUGGCUUCCGGAGCUAACGCGUUAAAUCGACCGCCUGGGGAGUACGGCCGCAAGGUUAAAACUCAAAGGAAUUGACG
rnacentral:rRNA from 1 species